rnacentral:rRNA from 1 species
AGAGUUUGAUUAUGGCUCAGAUUGAACGCUGGCGGCAGGCCUAACACAUGCAAGUCGAGCGGUAGAGAGAAGCUUGCUUCUCUUGAGAGCGGCGGACGGGUGAGUAAUGUCUGGGAAACUGCCUGAUGGAGGGGGAUAACUACUGGAAACGGUAGCUAAUACCGCAUAACGUCGCAAGACCAAAGAGGGGGACCUUCGGGCCUCUUGCCAUCGGAUGUGCCCAGAUGGGAUUAGCUAGUAGGUGGGGUAACGGCUCACCUAGGCGACGAUCCCUAGCUGGUCUGAGAGGAUGACCAGCCACACUGGAACUGAGACACGGUCCAGACUCCUACGGGAGGCAGCAGUGGGGAAUAUUGCACAAUGGGCGCAAGCCUGAUGCAGCCAUGCCGCGUGUAUGAAGAAGGCCUUCGGGUUGUAAAGUACUUUCAGCGGGGAGGAAGGGAGUAAAGUUAAUACCUUUGCUCAUUGACGUUACCCGCAGAAGAAGCACCGGCUAACUCCGUGCCAGCAGCCGCGGU